UGAGGAAUAUUGGUCAAUGGACGAGAGUCUGAACCAGCCAAGUAGCGUGCAGGAUGACGGCCCUAUGGGUUGUAAACUGCUUUUGUUUGGGAAUAAUCGACAUUACGUGUAAUGUUUUGCAUGUACCAUUCGAAUAAGGACCGGCUAAUUCCGUGCCAGCAGCCGCGGUAAUACGGAAGGUCCAGGCGUUAUCCGGAUUUAUUGGGUUUAAAGGGAGUGUAGGCGGUUGGUUAAGCGUGUUGUGAAAUGUAGAUGCUCAACAUCUGACUUGCAGCGCGAACUGGCUGACUUGAGUACACACAACGUAGGCGGAAGUCAUGGUGUAGCGGUGAAAUGCUUAGAUAUCAUGAAGAACUCCGAUUGCGAAGGCAGCUUACGGGAGUGUUACUGACGCUUAAGCUCGAAGGUGCGGGUAUCGAACAGG
rnacentral:rRNA from 1 species